UGGAUCCAGACUUUGAUUAUGGCUCAGGAUGAACGCUAGCUACAGGCUUAACACAUGCAAGUCGAGGGGCAGCGGGAUUGAAGCUUGCUUCAAUUGCCGGCGACCGGCGCACGGGUGAGUAACGCGUAUCCAAUCUUCCGUACACUCAGGGAUAGCCUUUCGAAAGAAAGAUUAAUACCUGAUAGUAUCUUAAGCACACAUGUAAUUAAGAUUAAAGAUUUAUCGGUGUACGAUGGGGAUGCGUUCCAUUAGGUAGUAGGCGGGGUAACGGCCCACCUAGCCAACGAUGGAUAGGGGUUCUGAGAGGAAGGUCCCCCACAUUGGAACUGAGACACGGUCCAAACUCCUACGGGAGGCAGCAGUGAGGAAUAUUGGUCAAUGGACGAGAGUCUGAACCAGCCAAGUAGCGUGAAGGAUGAAGGUCCUACGGAUUGUAAACUUCUUUUAUAAGGGAAUAAACCCUCCCACGUGUGGGAGCUUGUAUGUACCUUAUGAAUAAGCAUCGGCUAACUCCGUGCCAGCAGCCGCGGUAAUACGGAGGAUGCGAGCGUUAUCCGGAUUUAUUGGGUUUAAAGGGAGCGCAGACGGGUCGUUAAGUCAGCUGUGAAAGUUUGGGGCUCAACCUUAAAAUUGCAGUUGAUACUGGCGUCCUUGAGUGCGGUUGAGGUGUGCGGAAUUCGUGGUGUAGCGGUGAAAUGCUUAGAUAUCACGAAGAACUCCGAUUGCGAAGGCAGCACACUAAUCCGUAACUGACGUUCAUGCUCGAAAGUGUGGGUAUCAAACAGGAUUAGAUACCCUGGUAGUCCACACGGUAAACGAUGGAUACUCGCUGUUGGCGAUAUACUGUCAGCGGCUUAGCGAAAGCGUUAAGUAUCCCACCUGGGGAGUACGCCGGCAACGGUGCAACUCAAAUGAAUUGACGGA
rnacentral:rRNA from 1 species